rnacentral:rRNA from 1 species
UACAGAGGUCCCAAGCGUUGUUCGGAAUCAUUGGGCGUAAAGGGUGCGUAGGCGGAGCGGUAAGUAGGGUGUGAAAUCUCGGAGCUUAACUCCGAAACUGCAUUCGAUACUGCCGUGCUUGAGGACUGGAGAGGAGACUGGAAUUUACGGUGUAGCGGUGAAAUGCGUAGAUAUCGAGAGGAACACCUGCGGCGAAGGCGGGUUGCUGGGCUGACACUGACGCUGAUGCGCGAAAGCUAGGGGAGCGAACGGG